UCCAGCCUUUCAGGGAGAGAGGUGGGAAUAGGCUGGGUAACAAUCGAGGGAUCAGCCUGUGCCUGGUAGGAGAUAAAAACAGGAAAGCCUGAGCACAAGCUCUCUUAAACUCCUCAAGUGAGGAGGCCAACAUGCUGGCAGGAAAAUUCAAGUUUUUCUGCUGAGUUUGUUCACAAGACCCAUUCAGAAGUUCUGCAUGAAAGGGCUGCAGGAUCUUAAGGAAAACAGCCUUGGGUGGAAGUGGAAAACAUUCAGCUGGAACCCAGUGCUGCCCAGCAACACGGAUGGGUCACAAGGCUUUGGACACUGAGAAAUUAUUUGGCUUUCUGAAGAAAUUGGAUUAUUGAGGGUCCUGAUCACACCCAGGGGUGCUGCUGUAUCAUGAUCAGUCACUGCUGGGUUGGUUUGCAGGGAGGUUCUGGAGUUUGGGAGUCUUGGGGACAGGGAGGGGAGUCAGCAGCAGCACAAGUUGGCUUCUGAGUUCCAACCUGAGCCUGCUUCCCACCAUCCAGCACCUCCCAAGGCCAGCAAGGUAACCAAAAACCUGCUGAACUCAAGGAAGGAGGAAGGUCACUUCACAAAUCCAGAGGGGAGACAGAAACUGCAGAUGUGGUAUGAAAUAAGAAGCAACAAUCAGAGAAAAAAUGUGCUUUGGGGAGGGCCCAGAUGCCAUGCAACACCUUCUGCCAUGUUGGAGUGAUAAUAGCUGACCAUCCUCCUGGAGAUCUCAAAGCACCAAUGAGGAAAGGGAUCCUGAAGUGAAUUCUAUUGUUUGAGUCAACCCUGCAAAUGAGAAGAAGAAUGGGGAGGCUGUGUGUAAAACAUAGAGCAGCUCUGGAUUUUCCCAGAAAACUUGUCAAGAAAAAAAAAAAGUCUUCACUGCUGGUAUUUUUGCAUUACAUAUUCAGCAUUCACAACAAACUCAAUGCCCAGAAACGGGGAGUGCACUCUGAAUGAGGAAGAAGCUGCAACCUCUACCUCAAUAUUUUUCUGAAGCAGAGCUAAUGCACAGCAGCUAAAAAUAAUCUCAUGGAACAAAAAUGAAAAAAAACAGAGAAGUCAAUGCUAUAUGACUCUCUUCAAACCACAGAUCAGCACAGGAUGGUUGUAAGUGAAUACAAAACCAGUAUUGGUAGAGAUGGCAAAUUCUGUUCUUAUUGUAAAGCUCCUCACAAGCUUUGGCAGUUUCUUCCCAAAGCCCCCUCAGCUGUC